rnacentral:lncRNA from 10 species
GCAACCUCAACAAUCCUGGGCCAGUCCCAUUCUUUUUGGAUGUGGAAAUUGAGCCUGCCCAGGAUUGCUUGGCUGAGAGGCUGCCGUGUUGGGAUUUGCUCCUGACUUGCAACCACCUGACUCCACAGGGAUGAGGCAGUAGAGACAGCCCUGCCCCAUCCUCAGUAUCCUGGGAAUGUGUUGGAGGGUAUGGGUGGCCCCGACUGGGACACUGGGAUGACGGUUGGAAACAAGGGAGAAAGGGAAAUUGAGGCCCCUGAGAGCAAGAAAGCUGCCUCAAGCCUACAGACUUCCAGAUGGAAUUUCGUUUCCCUCUCAGGACUUUGAGCAGGUAAAUUCCUGGCCUUUCCUCCCCCAGGAUGGGUUGGGGAAAAAGAAACAGCAGCUGGGGAGGAGAUCUGAACAGGUACAAAGGGCGGCCUGCAUGAGGGGAAAGUGGUUAGACACCAAGCAGAACUUCCUGGCCUCCUCUGGGAAGUUUCUAAGACUCAUCCAGGGGCUGCCCCUGCGGGUGGGGGCCCUCCAGAGGCCAAGGCCCAGAGAAAGGAGACCCUAGUCCUUUCCGCCUGGGGUGCAAGGAGCCGGGGGAGGGUGGGGGUGGCCAUCCUGGUUCCGCAUCCUCCGUUCCCGACAUUGGAGGGAGGCUGCUGUGGGAGCUGGGACUUUCCUGAGAGCAGAAGAUUCUGGGAAAUUAGAGACAGCUGCAGGGCGGGGCUGCCUCCCAGCCUCCCUUCCCUUCCCUCCCCUUGGUCCCUGCUGGCUCCGGAGGCACGCCUCUCCACCCCUCCACCCCACCAGCUCCUCCUCCCCUAGUCCAUGCCUUCCACCCUCGGACCCUCAGAUCUUUUCCCCUGAGCCUCUUUCUUCUCCCUCAGAUCUGGCCUCUACCCUCAGACUCUCUCCAAAUCUUCUUUCCUCAGACCCUUCUUUCCCCUCCAACUCUCUCCUCCUCCCUCAGAGCUGCGUCCCCUCACUUAGUGCUUCUCAGACUUCCUCAGACUGUGCCCUCUCCCUCAGAUACUCUCCCCUCCCCUCAGACCCUCACCUCCUCACUCAGACCCUCACUUCCUCCUUCAGACCCUCACCUCCUCCCUCAGACCCUUACCUCCUCCUUCAAACCCUCACCUAUUCUCUCAAACCCUCAC